rnacentral:rRNA from 1 species
GAUGAACGCUGGCGGCGUGCCUAAUACAUGCAAGUCGAGCGAACGGACGAGAAGGUUGCUUGUCUGUUGUUAGGGGCGGACGGGUGAGUAACACGUGGAUAACCUACAUAUAAGACUAGGAUAACUUCGGGAAACCGGAGAUAAUACAGGAUGAUAGUUUGAACGGCAUAGUGCAAAAGGAAAAGACGGUCUUGCUGUAACUUAUAGAUGGAGCCGCGCUGCAUUAACUAGUUGGUAAGGUCACGGCUUACGAAGGCUACGAGGCAUAGCCGACCUGAGAGCGUCGUCCGCCACCCUGUCUCUGAGACACGUCCCCCACUCCUGCGGUAGGCCGCAGUCGGGAAUCUUCCGCGAUGCGCCAAAGCCUGACGGAGCAACGCCGCGUCAGUGCUGAUGGUCUUCUGACCGUAGAGCUCUGUUAUUCGGGAAGUACUUAUGUGUAAGUAACUGUGCAGAUCUUGACGGUACCUAAUCAGAAAGCCACGGCUAACUACGUG